UACUCUGGUUUCUCUUCAGAUGAUUUAUCUUUUACUCUUUACUAAAGAUUUCCUGGAGAGGAA
rnacentral:snRNA from 1 species